UUCCCGGUGGCUCAGAUGGUAAAGCAUCUGCCUGCAAAGCAGGAGACCUGGGUUCAAUCCCUAGGUUGGGAAG